UACGUAGGGUGCGAGCGUUAAUCGGAAUUACUGGGCGUAAAGCGUGCGCAGGCGGUUUUGUAAGACAGGCGUGAAAUCCCCGGGCUCAACCUGGGAAUGGCGCUUGUGACUGCAAGGCUGGAGUGCGGCAGAGGGGGAUGAAAUUCCGCGUGUAGCAGUGAAAUGCGUAGAUAUGCGGAGGAACACCGAUGGCGAAGGCAAUUCCCUGGGCCUGCACUGACGCUCAUGUACGAAAGCGUGGGGAGCAAACAGG
rnacentral:rRNA from 1 species